GGUAAUAAUGUAUUUACGGGACCAAGUUCCUGACUGGUCUGUAAGCUUCCAGAAAACAGACUCAGGCCUCUCUGCAUCCCUAGGACCAGCACUAGAAAAGAAGGUAUUGAAUGAAUGUCUUCUGUGCCCUUUACUGCCUGUUUUCAAGCACCAUCCCGCUUCACCAAGGAAGGAACUGGAAGCAUUUCCUCCCAGGCAACAAGAAAGAAGAAACCUCAAAGACCACUCCCUGGUUUGAAGUCUCCAAGACAAAAGCUGAUCGAAGUCAGGAGAAAGAUCCAGUUUUGGAAAGAAGAGGAACAUUCUGAAUACACUAAAUUUUAGCUGAAAACGGAAAAACCAUCCAGCAUUAAUUCAUUCAUUCCAUAUUCACUGCGUGUCUAUUAGAGCAUCUGCACUCAGAGAGUUCACUCUCUGGUAGAAAAGCCUAAUCAACAAGACGAAAAGAAAGCCACAGUGUCAACACAGGUCAGCGUUAAAGGUAGUCCCUCUGGGAGUGAAACCAAGAAACACGACAAUUACAGUAUAAAUGAAUCCUACAUUCAGUAGGCACUAAGAGUAGGCUGAAUGACACUGAAAUAAAAGCUAUUUUUAAAUAGAGAGCUAACUUCAAGAUGCAUUUUUUAUAACUAAAGCAG